GAAUCUGGCCACACCACCCUGAACACACCUGAUCUUGGAAGCUAAGCAGGGGAGGGCCUGGUUAGUACUUGGAUGGGAGAGGGAGAGAGAGAGACACCUGGAGACCUGCUUCA
rnacentral:rRNA from 1 species